rnacentral:rRNA from 1 species
CAGCAGCCGCGGUAAUACGGAGGAUCCAAGCGUUAUCCGGAAUUACUGGGCGUAAGGAGUUGCGUAGGUGGCAUUGUAAGUUGAUAGUGAAAGCGUGCGGCUCAACCGCAUACACAUUAUCAAAACUGCAAAGCUAGAGGAUGAGAGAGGUUAUUGGAAUUCCUAGUGUAGGAGUGAAAUCCGUAGAUAUUAGGAGGAACACCGAUGGCGUAGGCAGAUAACUGGCUCAUUCCUGACACUAAGGCACGAAAGCGUGGGUAGCAAACGGGAUUAGAUACCCCGGUAGUCCCUGUCUCUUAUA